rnacentral:rRNA from 1 species
UACGUAGGGGGCAAGCGUUGUCCGGAUUUAUUGGGCGUAAAGAGCGUGUAGGCGGCUUCACAGGUCCGCUGUGAAAACUCGAGGCUCAACCUCGAGCUGUCGGUGGAAACCGUGUGGCUAGAGUCCGGAAGAGGAGAGUGGAAUUCCCGGUGUAGCGGUGAAAUGACGCAGAUAUCGGGAAGAACACCCGUGGCGAGGGCGGCUAGCUGGCCUGUAACUGACGCUGAGGCGCGAAGGCUAGGGGAGCGAACAGG